UCCCCACAAAUGUGGAUGUUUAAAAUAGUGCUUUAUUCAAUCGGCAUAAGUGACACAUAGACUAUGUAUAGUGGUGGAACUGGGCCUGGCAGGUGAUGAGGGCCAGAUCUCAUCAAAACCAAGAGUCGUGGUUCUCAACUGAUAGUGCCCAAGGGAUCUGUCCUGAGGAUGGCCAGCACAGAACCCCCAGCAUGGGUUGCCUGGCAAAUUCACUUGCACAACUACUGAUUUGUCUGAAAUGGAUGUACCUCAGAGCCAGUGAACCAGGAUUUUGGCUUCGUUUCCAUGGGGCAUGCCAGCGGGUCACAUUUCCUCUGUGAACCUCCCUCCAAGCCGCACUGUACUCAUGAAGGGAAAGGGACAAGGCUUCACAAGAAACAGCACAUGCUUUCCUUUCAUUUCUGGGAGUCCCAGGGUCGACCUACAGAUGCUGCUCCUUCCCUCGCCGAUGGCAUUCAGACUCCUAGUUGCCGACGGUGCCAGGCAAACAACUGGACAGAACAACUCAGCUACAGGAAGGUGGCCACAGUCUCGGCCAGAGCAGCAGCCCCCGGGCCACAGACCACCUCUGCCACCCCAUCCAGGAGCCUUGCCUCCUCCUUCAGUCUUGUCAGGGCCCCGACACAGGGGCUGAAGAACUGGGAGGUGGUAGCAGCAGUGGCAGUGGUGCCUACAGUCUUGGGGCCAGUCCAGGCACGUGGGACCCUGCUUCGGGCAACUCUGCGGCCCCUCCAGGGCCAGGGAGAGACCCAGGACAGCCCCAGCGCUCACCAUUGUUUCUUCUUGUCGCUGAAACCUAGGCGAGGCCUCAGCAUGGAAGCCGCUACUCCUGAGCUGAAUCCGCAGGCCAGACUGAGGGAGGUGGGGGACCGGGUGAGCAGAGCUCAAGAUAGCCAGGAGCUAAAGCAGCAGCUGCAGCUGCUGCCUAAGCCAUCAACCUCCUCCCAGAGAGAAGUGAAAUAUGUGGAGAUGUGCGCUUCAGCUGGAGUCCAGAGGGAGAGUCCUGGGACCAUGAAACUUACCCCGGAGUGCUCCCCUGGGGAUCAGAGGGACUCUAGGAGUCCCAAGGAGAAAGUCCAAGAUGAACCCAGUGGUCAAGAAUGCAAGGCUGCAACCCCCCAGAAGAAUCCUUCUUCCUCAGAACACUCCAGAUCCCAGCUCUCCCGCACUGAUAAGGGCAGCAACUUCUCGCCUUCCUCCUCCUCCUCCUCCCCAGUGGACACAGCAGAAGGUGGCCUUUCCAAGAUGGAUGAAACCACCAUAUCAACAGGGGCUCUGGCCACUUCAUCUUCAUCUUUAGGCUUUGAGAGUGACAGUGGUGAGAGCGCAGUGAGCUGCCAGCCCAGCGGGGGAGUGGGAGGAAAAAAAGCAGCAGAAGGAGGGGCAGGAGGGGGAGGAAAAGAUGGGACAGAGUGCAGGGACAUUAUUGCCAAGUCUCAGGGCAGCAAGGGCCCCCCAAAACACGAGGAGGCUCACUACAUCACCACCCACGAGAUCCAGCUGACUGAGGUCGAGCAGGACAUGGAUUUCGACGUGGGGCUGGCCUCCCGCUGGGAUUUCGAAGACAACAACGUGAUCUACUCAUUUGUGGACUAUGCUUCCUUUGGUGGCAGCGACGAGACCCCGGGGGAUGUCACCACCCCGACCGAAGAGGAAGACAACAGCUGCUACCUCAGCACCACUCCCAGCACCAAUGCCACCCGGACACCCAGUCCCACCAGCAGUGACCCAGCUCGCCCCAGCGCAGGCAGCAGUGGUCGCGACACCAGCAGCACGGAAGUGGGCAGUGGCCCCUCUGACAGUGGCCCGACUCCCCCACCCACUGGGCCUGGCACUGCCACUGGGCCUGAGCCCUUGCCGGAGCCCCCGGAGGCAGCUUCAGGGGCAGCAGCCGCCGCAAGCAGCUGUGGGAGUGCAGCAAGCCAGAUCCUCCUAUCAAUCAAACCGACUUCCCGGGCUAUAAAUGAGCCUAGCAACGUGCGUGCAAAGCAAAACAUUAUUUAUGCUGCCAAGCAUGAAGGCGACAUGAGCCUCCGAGUCUCUACAGCUGCUGAACACAAUUCAAGUUCACUGAAGCAAGACCGGGCUGCAGCGGUGGCUCAGGACCAUGCAAAGAAAUUCAUCGCUGUCCCUGCUCGCCUGCAAACCCGGUGCGGGGCCAUCCGGGCGAAGGAGUUGGCGGACUAUUCCAGCGGGGCCUCCAGUGCGGUGAGUGAACUGGACGAUGCGGACAAAGAGGUCCGUAACCUGACCUCCCGCGCCUUCCGGAGCCUCGCUUACCCCUACUUCGAGGCUCUGAACAUCAGCUCCCGGGAGUCCUCCACGCUCUCUGAAGUCGGCUUUGGGCGUUGGUCGACCUUCCUGGACCUAAAAUGUGGGGGUGUUGGAGCCAGAGUGGAACAGAGCCUGCUCAGGAGCAGUGCGGCCUCGGUGGCCGCAGGUCUGAGGAAGGGAGGUGGGGCCAGGACAACCGCAGACCAGCUUUACAUCCACUCCAGGAAGUCCCAAACCAAGGCCUUGGAGUUCGUCGUCAGCAAAGUCGAGGGGGAAAUCAAACAUGUGGAGACACCUCUCUGUUUCCAAAAGCAGGUCCAGACGGGCUCCCGCGUGGUCACUCUUCUCGAACCCCUGAAUUUACGCAGUGAGAGCAAAGCCAGCUCAGCCGCUGGACCCUGCAAGACCACCAAAGGUUCCAGCAAGGGCCCUGGGUCGGUGUACACAGAUGACGGCUCUGAGACAUCUGAGAACAGUAAGCCUGCCUCCCGUGCAGAGGGCCCCCAAAAGAAGUCCAAGUUUGCUUCCAGCCUGCUCAAAAACAUCAUCUCCAAGAAGAUGCAGCGGGAACAUGAGUUCAAAAUGGAGAGGGGAGAAGUCAUUGACACAUCCCACCAAAACCUCUCCAGCAUGUCCAAGGAGCCAGGGAGCACUCCUGGGGGUGAGAAGCAGCGGGAGAGGAGCCUGCAGAGACAGAGCUCUCGCCACUCGGAGGCCGGCUCUGAGUACACGGUGCUCAGCCUGUCUGAUGCAGGUGGGGAGGGGUCCAUGGCCGGGUCUAAAUCCCCAAUUUUCAAAGCCAGUGCUCCUCGGGAGAACAGUGCAGGCUCUGGCCGAAAUAUCACCGACGGACACACAGAGGAAGCAUGUGAAAUUAAAAAGAGUGCAUCAGAGACUGUCAAGGGCAUCUUCCUCCGUAGUCAGAAUAGUGCAUUCCGAUCGUGGAAGGAGAAAGAGGCCGAGAAGCGAGAAGAAAAAGCCCCCAUUGGGAAGCUGAAACUCCCCAAAGGAGGCGACUGGAGGGCUGAUCUUGGGGAGAUAUCUGCAAGCAAGUCCACUAUCAUGUCUCGUCUCUUUGUCCCCAACAUCCAGCAGACACCCAAAGACAAACAGCCAGGGAAACAGGCCACUAAGUACCCUGCUGCCCAGGCCACCUCCACGGCAGUGAUCAAGCCCAAGGUUCCGGAAAUCAAGAUCCGGCUGGGGAGUGUGCAGCAGCCAAGCUCAGACUUCAACAUUGCCAAGCUGCUCACGCCCAAACUGGCAAGCAGCAGCGCCUCUAACCUCCUCAGGACCAUUGAGGACAACACCAGGGCGCAGCAGAAACUCUUCCGGGGGGACAACCUGGAAAAGGUGCCCCACUUCCAGGUGAGAGACGUCAGAGACAAGUCCAGGGUUCAGGGUCCCCUCCACCAGGUGAGGGAUGUCAGGAAACUCAUCAAAGGGUCAGGCGAUAGCAGUGACAAGGGCAGUGUUACCCCAGAGCAGGGUCUGACCGGGCCCAAACCCAGGCAGCUGGCUGCUGCAGCUGGUGGAUCCAGAUCCCUAUCCCCCAUGGUGAUUACAUGCCAGGCCGUGGUGAACCAGAGGGAAGACAGCAUGGACCGAGAGCUGAGGGAGAGCCUGGGCAAAGGCGGCAGCAGCAGCAGCGGCUUGAAUUCUUCUUCUCCAGAAGGGACAGUCUUGGUUCACAGGGCAUCUGGCAGGCUGCCUGUGGCCACCAUUGCCCCCAAUAAGCCUGAGCAGGGCUCAUAUCUGCCUGUGCUCAAGAUCGUCUCCAAGGCUUCCGCUCAGAAGACCCCAGAGAAGGCCAAGGACGAGGAGGUCAAGGAGGAAGGGAAAGGUCCUAAGCCAUCACGGAAUGCCCUGGAGAAGCUGACUGCGGCCGUGAGGUCCAUGGAGGAACUGUACAGUUUCAACAGGAACGAGUGGAAGCGCAAAAGCGACCCGUUGCCCAUGAUAACAGACAGCCAUGUCCUGUCGCUCAUCGCCAGUGAGGAGAGGGGAGGGGCUGGGGGUGCUGAGGGCGACCCAGACAAGUUGGCCAAAAGGCUGGGUGAGGUGGGAGAGCGGGGCACAGGAAACAAAGGCGGAGUGGUCCUGCGAGGGGGGCCCAUGGAGCGUCUGCAGCGGAGAAACUCCAACCCGAGCGCCGAGAGUGUGUCUGCCCGAGCUGCUGCCUUUGAGAACCUGGCCAGGGAAAGGCCCCGGUCCCUCUAUAUUCCCCCAGUCCACAAGGAUGUGCAGAGAACCCAGCCACUGCAGCCCCUCCCGCCCCUCCCCAGCAACCGGAAUGAGUUCACAGUGAGUGCCAGCAGCACCCAGAAAACUGGGGGUGUUGCUGGCAAGUUUCCACAAGGGCUUUCUCCAGAGAGUCCUUCAGCAGCAAAGGGCAUCAAGUCUCAGGGACUACGGUCCCUCAAGAUCUCUCCAGCCACCAGGGCACCGGUGGGGGAGGUGACCAAUAGGAAAAACGGCAGCAAUUUGGAAAAGAGCAAUAGUGACUGUGAGAAUUACCUGACUAUCCCUCUUAAAGGAAGUUCUGCAGCUGGGGAACUUCCAGGAAGGCCUGGGGCUGGGAGGGAGGGGGCACCAGCCUCCUCAGUGGCCACUCUCUGCAGCUUGCCGCCCCUGAGUGCCCGCAGUCAGGUCCCCAGUAGUCCCAAAAGCUCCCAUGUCAGUGGAACCAGCCGGCCAGCUUGGCGUACCAAACCUGACAACCCACGGGAGAUGGUAGCUGCCCCCCCAGGGCCACAGAGCCCCGAGCAUCCCCCCACUGCCAUCUACCACCAGCAGCCACUGCCCUUCCCCCUGCAGGGGGCCCAGCCCCAGGUCCUCUGCUUCUCCCCACCUGGCAUGCCUGCCCAGGCACCGGCAGGCUCAGCUUCCGUCCCCACAGAACCCUUCCAGCAGCCUCAGCCUCAGCAGACCCAGCGCAAGAUGCUCCUGGAUGUGACAACUGGCCAGUACUAUCUGGUGGACACACCAGUACAGCCCAUGACCCGGAGACUCUUUGACCCUGAGACAGGGCAGUAUGUGGACGUGCCUGUGACCUCCCAGCAGCAGGCUGUGGCUCCCAUGUCCCUUCCUGUGCCUCCCUUGGCACUGAGUCCCGGGGCCUAUGGGCCCACCUACAUGAUCUACCCUGGAUUUCUGCCCACGGUGCUGCCUGCCAACGCCCUGCAGCCCACACCAAUUGCUCACACUCCAGGGGGCAGUGAGCUCUCCCAGAUGGCUGCAGAGCCCCCCAGCAAAGAGGCAGCUUCAACAUUCACCGAGGCCCCAUACUUCAUGGCCUCUGGUCAGUCCUCUGCCUCCUCUUCCUCCUCAGCGCCAGCAGCAACAUCCCAGCUCGUGGGGGCCAAGGGCUUCGCCCAGCUGCACGGCAAGCCUGUCAUCAGCAUCACCUCGCAGCCCCUGGGGCCGAGGAUCGUUGCGCCUCCUUCCUUUGAUGGCACCACCAUGAGCUUUGUGGUGGAGCACAGAUGAAGAGCAGUCACCAGGAGCAGCUGCUGGUCUCAAUUCCUUGUUGUGAACUGUCCCCCUUCCCUCAUCUGGGAAAAAGGGAAAAGAAUAAGGAGCAAGACAGAAAGACAGACCUCUCUUCUUUAAUCUGAAGGUUGCAUUAUAACAGCACCAAGAAUUCAUCUGAAAAACUUCCUCUACAUGUGUUAUUCUUAGUAUUUGCUUCUUAUAAACCAAGUGUGUAAGUUUCUAUAUUUUCCUGAACAACCCUGUUAAGACAGUUUGUGUUAUUUUAGUUUUACUAGGCUGAUUGAAUGGUUGCAUUUUUUCCCCCGUAAAACUAUUUCUUUUUAUACUUAAAUACAGGAUAUAAGCAUUCUAUUCAUCUUUCCCUCCUUUUGACUAGACAACAAUCCCUUAAGUUUUUUAUAGUUCAAUCAAACCAUACAACAGCAUAGGUUUGGUUGUAUUGUAAACCAAGCCAACAAACCAGUAAUUUGGAUCACAAAUCUUGUAGGUCCUUGGAAUAUAUAAGGACUAGCUGGCAGAAUUAUAGCACAUGCUUGGAUUUUAAAUAUGUUGGGUCUGUACUUUGAAUCAUAUACCAGCCAAGCCUAGUCAUUCUCCUGGUUAUAUUCUCCAUGUUCUUUUCUUGGAUUUAGCAUGAUUUCAGAUGUGAUGGUGAAAAAUAGUGGUGUUAACCUUUAUGCUUUAAUUUUCCCAUUUGUACAGUGUCAUGACAGUAUCUGUUGCCUUAAAAUAGAAUGACUUAAAAUACUGAAGAGCUAGUGAUUUAAAAUUAAGCCUUUAGUCUCAGGAAGGUAUGAAAUAUUUAUUUCCCUCUAGUAACCCAACCUUUGUUAAGUGUGUAUAGCAUUUUUUUUUUUUUUUUGGUCUUUUUCAAUGAUUCCCGUCAUAGUUGCAUAUACUCCUGUCUCUCACAGAUUGUUUGGAGUCUGACGAGUGACCUGUUUGGGGUGAUAGAAUAGAAUGUAAGCUCUGAUUCAGUGGCUCUGAUUUUCUCCAGCCCUCGCCAUACCAAUAACUGCGACCUAGGAUUACAUCACUAGUUCCUUAUGGUUUUAAGAGAUGUUGAAAAUCCAAAUCACAGAAUUUUUCAUGAACAGUAACUAUUGACUCAGUUGUAACCCAAUUCUGAAGGUUAUUUUAGUGAGUGUUCACAGUGAGUCUGGAAGAGUUAAUCAAACAGAUAAAUAUUUAGCUUGUCAGAGUUAAUGGAUGUCAACAUAUAUUUGACAAAUGUUACAUUGGCAUAGUUCUUACUUUAAAAAAGAAUGCCUUGAAGAUUAUCCCAGGCUUUUUUAUUUAAGGAUUCUCCUCUUAUUUACUUAUUUAUUCAAAGGUAAAGCAUUCUGGUAAUUUUUUAAAAAGCCUAUUUUGAUUUUAGUGGUCAUCAGUAUUUGGUUUCUGCUUAAAAUUGGUUUUUGAAACCACAGAAUUUUAUGCUAUUCAUGACUGACGUUGAGACUGAUUUUUGUAUGGUUUAUGAAAUCUCAUUACUUUGUAGUUAUGCUUCUUAUUUCAGACUCUAUAAAAAAAACAACUCAAUUUCACUUUCAGGGCCUUCCUUAAAGUAAUUUUUUAUCUAGAAAAUUGUGGGCUAAAAGAAAAGUUUUGAGGGAGAAAUAAUUCCAUUCAUCAUUGGGCUCAUGGGCUAUGUAAUGGAGUGAUGUCUCUGAGACAUGACACAUGAAAUAUGAAACAGCUCUGUGUAUGGAAAAGAUGCCUUGUACCAUAUUAGGAAAAGUGUUAUUCCUUUGUCAUAGAGGCCCUCAUACGCGGGUACAUCAACAGAUUCACCUCAGAACGUACUUAAUUUUUCACCACUGGGGAAGUACUUAUAUCAGCCCUUCCUCAUUUUCAGUAGAGAUUGGCUGGGUAUGAGAUCACUUAAUACUGAAACAAGAAAGUAGAAUCAAUUUCGAGGAUCUCAAACCUAUAGUACUCAAAAGAGUGCUAUGAAUUCUCAAGUAUUAGGUUGGUGCAAAAGUAAUUGCAGUUUAAAAGGUUAAGAAUAAUUGCAAAAACCACAAUUAAUUUUGCACCAACCUAAUAUUUGACCAUAUCUAGUGAAACUUAUACAGGAUUUGGGUGGGUAGUACCACAAUUGAUAAGACUAUUUUAAAACCAUGUGUGACUUUUAGGAAAAUCCAGUAGUCAUGUUGAGUUGUCAACUGCUUGCCAGUUUUUCAGAGACUCUCCUUCCUGAGAAAAUGUGGUCAAGUUCUUACUUUCCACUGGUCUAGGGGCUCCAUUUUUUUUUUAAUUUAUUAUUUAUUAUUAUUUAUUACUUAUUUAGCACCAGUAGAUCUGAGCCUUAAGUUCUCAUAUUGAGGUAAACUGAGACAGAAGCUAGGAAAGAAAGGAAAAUGUCUCAUUUUGGGGUCUAUCAGAGAGGCCACAUCCUCUGAGGAGCUGUCCAGGAGGUAGUAAAUGUCUAAGUGGUUAAGAAUGUAACCUUAAAAUAAUAUUCUAUGAAUAUGACAUCUUCUAUUGGUAAUUUUAUGGUUCUCUAAUUUCCUUAAACCAUGCAAAGCUGCUGGGCCAUUUACUACCUCAAAUGACAGGGAGGAACAUUUUAAAAGACAUGAGGUAAAUCCAAAUCCUCAUUGUCAUUGUUAUUAUCUCUUGAGGUCACAUUGAUAUUUGAAAGAAGUGGUUGUGCCCUUCCUCUUUCAACCAAAGUUAAGUGGAAUGAGAGUUUAUGAACCUUCCAACCCACAAAAGUGUUAUCCUCACAAUGUCCCUUUAGCUACUGAACUACCCUUUUAUGUUUUAUGGACACAAAACUAUUUGUAGCACAACAAGCAUGUAGCAUUUCCUAAAUAGCACCUUGAACUUGAAUCUACUUAGACUUGCAGAGUGUGGUUUUUGCCAUUUUCUCUCAGCGUUACAAGUGUGACUCAGUUUUCCAGAGGAACCACAGGGCAUUGUGUGUCGGAAUCUUAACCCAUUUCCUUUUUUUCCUUGUUGGUUAAAUGGUCAGGUUGAAAUAUGCUUUAUUUGAAUUGUUUUUGGAAAACUGAACACAUUUGUAACCAGUAUGAAAAUUUAAUUCACCAGAAUGCUUUUUUUUUUUUUUUUAAAAGCACUCAUUGAAAUUGCCCUCAGGAUUGAAUAAAGCUCAGAUAUGCAGUUAGUGACUUAACUUACAGGCUCUCUGUAUGUCGGUAUAUGUCUGUGUGUAUAUUGCUCUCUAUAUACAAUUGGCUAAAUAAGUUAGAACAAAUUACAUUUUGGCAUCUCUGUGAUAAAUCUCAAAUGUUAACGCACAUUUCAAAUUCAUCCUUCUAUCACUAGGAAAUACCUAGUGACAUAAAUUUAUUUUUCUUAAUUUCAGAUUAGACUUUAUCAUCCUUUCCUCUUAAGGAGAUUUAAUGCAUUUUAACUAUUUUCAUACUUUGUGUGUUUGCUAUGAAUUGAAAGCUCAGCUACCUGAAAUAAUACUUUGGACUGCAGGACAGUACUGAUUCCUAAAUAGAUUGACUAUAAUCUCAUGAUAAGUAUAUAUAUAUGUGCAUGAGAAAACACAUUCAAUUAUAGUCUCUGUGUUUAAAAAUUAUCAUGUAUACAUUUUCCUAUGUGGUGCUUGAGGAGUUUCAUUCUACAGUUUACAAGGUGUAGGUUUGCACCCCAAAUUCUCAGGGUAUGUUAUUUUACCCAAAUACUUGAAAGAAAAAGGUGCCCUGUAUCUUACCAGUACUGUUGAGGGGAAAAAUUAUGUGUAGGUUUGGUUUAGAAAACUACUUAUAAAAAUCAAAUUCAUAAAGUAUGUUAGGCUUUUACAUAAUUUCUAAGGAGAUAUACAUAUAGAUAUGAUAUAUAUUUUCAAGAGACUGUUUCUAUAUUCUUAACUAACUUCUGGGUCCUAAGUAGACCUCACAGGUGCAUAAAAGCAUUAAAAAAGCAUGUAGCAUUUGCUAAAUUGUAUCUUGAGCUUGAAUCUAAUCAGAAUUUCAGACUCUGGUUCUCUGGGGGAGAGGGAGAAAGCAUAUUUAUCUGUGGCACACGUGAUAAGGCCCGGGGGGGGGGGAUUCUGAAAAUUGGUCUUGCUUGUAUGCCCCAUAUCUCCGAAGAGAACUGAACAUUCACGGAAGUAUUUUAAGCUGUCAACAUUCUUGUUUCAUGUUGCAACUAGAGCACAUUUUUAGACUUAUUCCUAUUUAAUUCAUAAUGGUGCAGAAUAAAACACAUACAUAGCACAUUUAAUUUGAUUUUUUUUUUAAGUUUUAUAAUUGCUUUUUACCAGCUAGUGUUAAUGGCAGAAAGUCCUUUCAAGGGCUCCCUGAAUUACCUGUAGUACCUGAAUCUAUUUCUAGCAGGUGGUCCUUUUUUUUUUUCUCCCUUUGAAGAUGUAGUUUCGUUUUUUACAUUUAAAUCAUAUUAUUGUACAGUAAAGACAAUGGUGGUUGAAAAGAAUGUGAAGACUGAAGAAGUUAUGUCCCAAACAGAGGAGAGUAAAUUGUGUGAUGAAUGGAGAAAGACAUUGGAUAAUGCUGAAUUAUACCCCUGACUAUGAAAUAAGCCAGUGGUAAAUGGGAAGAAUGUGAAAAAUUGAACUGUUCUCAAGAUGGAAAUCUUGGUGGAAGAGUUCCUACCUGAAGUCUGAUGUGACUUAAUUAUAGAAUGCAGUGAGCUUGGCCAGUGGGACUACGAAUCUAGCCCCACAUCUCUGAGAGUUACUCUCAGUGUAUUGCAUAUGGAGAAAACUAGGACUCUGUGAGACUAGCCUACGUACCUUAAUUGCCAGCCUUUGUAAGUGGUUGUGCAAUCUUGUGUAAUGGUCUUUUAUUUUGACUCUUGAAAACAAU